UACGAAGGGUGCAAGCGUUACUCGGAAUCACUGGGCGUAAAGCGUGCGUAGGCGGUUCGUUAAGUCUGCCGUGAAAGCCCUGGGCUCAACCUGGGAACUGCAGUGGAUACUGGCGGACUAGAGUGUGAUAGAGGAUGGUGGAAUUCCCGGUGUAGCGGUGAAAUGCGUAGAGAUCGGGAGGAACACCAGUGGCGAAGGCGGCCAUCUGGAUCAACACUGACGCUGAGGCACGGAAAGCGUGGGGAGCAAACAGG
rnacentral:rRNA from 1 species